rnacentral:lncRNA from 1 species
CUACAAUGUAACUCACACAGAAACGGACCAAGCAUCAGACAAAAUCCCACGAGAAUAACAAAUAUAACAUCAAAACCAAAUACAUGAAUUUGGGAUAGACAAGUACCGUGACACGUCUUAUCGCAAUAUGAAUUUACACUAAAAAUUAAGAGAAAACAAACGACGCAACGUUAAAAUGUAACACACACAGAAACGAACUAUAAUAUAACAAUGGCCAUAUUCCUGACUUGGUACAGGAC